rnacentral:rRNA from 1 species
UAGGGAAUCUUCCACAAUGGGCGCAGCCUGAUGGAGCAACACCGCGUGAGUGAAGAAGGGUUUCGGCUCGUAAAGCUCUGUUGUUGAAGAAGAACGUGCGUGAGAGUAACUGUUCACGCAGUGACGGUAUUCAACCAGAAAGUCACGGCUAACUACGUGACCAC